rnacentral:RNase_P_RNA from 1 species
CUAGACAGUCGUCUGGUCGCCUGUUUUUUAAUAGGAGGAAAGUCCGGGCAGCAUAGAGCGCGAUAGUUGCUAACAGCAACCGGGAGUGAUCCUAGGGAAAGUGCCACAGAAACAAAACCGCUCCUAAUUCUUAAUUGGGGGUAAGGGUGAAAAGAGUAGGGUAAGAGCCUACAGUCGAUCAAGGUGACUUGAUUGGAUGGUAAACCCUAUCGGCUGCAAGGGGCAGGUUUGCUUGAUUCGAUUGAGCUGGUUGCUCGCCAACCUGUCAAUAUCCGCUUGAGUCUAUUAGCGAUAGUAGAUCUAGAUAGAUGAUCAGUACAAAACAGAACCCGGCUUAUAGACUGUCUAGCUAA